rnacentral:pre_miRNA from 1 species
AUAUUACUCCCUCCGUCCGGAAAUACUUGUCCUCGAAAUGGUUGUAUCUAGACUUAUUUUAGUUAUAGAUACAUCCAUUUUAUUCAUUUCAAGGACAAGUAUUUCCGGACGGAGGGAGUAGUUA